rnacentral:misc_RNA from 1 species
AAGUCGUAACAAGGUUUCCGUAGGUGAACCUGCGGAAGGAUCAUUAAUGAAUAAUCCUUUACGGAUUCAAUCCGUAUCCACCCCAUGUGAACUGUUAACUGUUUUAUGUUUCGCUCAACCAGUAUGGCCUCUUCGGAGCCGUUUCUGGGUGGGCGGACGUAGUAUAAUAAACCUGAUUUUUAACUUGUCUGAAGUAAAUUAAAUAUAAACUUAAUUAAUUACAACUUUCAACAACGGAUCUCUUGGCUCCU